rnacentral:rRNA from 1 species
GAUGAACGCUGGCGGCGUGCCUAAUACAUGCAAGUCGAGCGAACGGACGAGAAGCUUGCUUCUCUGAUGUUAGCGGCGGACGGGUGAGUAACACGUGGAUAACCUACCUAUAAGACUGGGAUAACUUCGGGAAACCGGAGCUAAUACCGGAUAAUAUUUUGAACCGCAUGGUUCAAAAGUGAAAGACGGUCUUGCUGUCACUUAUAGAUGGAUCCGCGCUGCAUUAGCUAGUUGGUAAGGUAACGGCUUACCAAGGCAACGAUGCAUAGCCGACCUGAGAGGGUGAUCGGCCACACUGGAACGGAGACGCGGUCCAUGCUCCUACGGGAGGCAGCAGUAGGGAACCUGCCGCAAUGGGCGGAAGCCUGGCGGAGCAGCGCCGAGUGAGUGAUGAAGGUCUUCGGAUCGUAAAACUCUGUUAUUAGGGAAGAACAUAUGUGUAAGUAACUGUGCACAUCUUGACGGUACCUAAUCAGAAAGCCACGGCUAACUACGUG